rnacentral:rRNA from 1 species
AGGAUGAACGCUGGCGGCAUGCCUAACACAUGCAAGUCGAACGGGGUUUAUAUAACAGAACUCUCCGGAGGGAAGAUAUAUAAACCUAGUGGCGGACGGGUGAGUAACGCGUGGGCAACCUGCCCUGUACCGGGGGACAACAGCCAGAAAUGGCUGCUAAUACCGCAUAAGCCUGCUGUGCCGCAUGGCACAGCAGGGAAAACCACGGUGGUACAGGAUGGGCCCGCGUCUGAUUAGUUAGUUGGCAGGGUAACGGCCUACCAAGACAACGAUCAGUAGCCGGCUUGAGAGAGUGGACGGCCACAUUGGGACUGAGACACGGCCCAGACUCCUGCGGGAGGCAGCAGUGGGGAAUAUUGCACAAUGGGGGGAACCCUGAUGCAGCAAUGCCGCGUGGGUGAAGAAGCACUCCGGUGCGUAAAGCCCUGUCAGCAGGGAAGAAAAUGACAGUACCUGGACAAGAAGCCCCGGCUAACUACGUGCCAGCAGCCGCGGUAAUACGUAGGGGGCAAGCGUUAUCCGGAUUUACUGGGUGUAAAGGGAGCGCAGGCGGCGUGGCAAGUCAGAUGUGAAAACCCGGGGCCCAACCCCGGGAGUGCAUUUGAAACUGCCAUGCUGGAGUGCCGGAGAGGUAAGCGGAAUUCCUAGUGUAGCGGUGAAAUGCGUAGAUAUUAGGAGGAACACCAGUGGCGGAGGCGGCUUACUGGACGGUAACUGACGCUGAGGCUCGAAAGCGUGGGGAGCAAACAGGAUUAGAUACCCUGGUAGUCCACGCCGUAAA